UUCGCAAUGCCCGAAAGGGUGACGAAGCGACGCCGCGUGGGUGAGGAAGGCCUUCGGGUUGUAAAGCCCUGUCAGGAGUUAAGAAAUGUAAGUGCGCUAAUAUCGCAUUUAUUCGACGAAGGCUCCAAAGGAAGCCACGGCUAACUCUGUGCCAGCAGCCGCGGUAAUACAGAGGUGGCAAGCGUUGUUCGGAAUUAUUGGGCGUAAAGAGCACGUAGGUGGAUUUGUAAGUCAGAUGUGAAAGCCUUCUGUUCAACGGAAGAAUUGCAUCUGAAACUGCGAGUCUUGAGUGUAGGAGGGGAGAAUGGAACUUCUGGUGGAGCGGUGGAAUGCGUAGAUAUCAGAAGGAACGCCGGCGGCGAAAGCGAUUCUCUGGCCUAUUACUGACACUCAGUGUGCGAAAGCUAGGGGAGCAAACGGGAUUAGAUACCCCGGUAGUCCUAGCCGUAAACGAUGGGCACUAAGUAGAGGGGUUUU
rnacentral:rRNA from 1 species